UGUGAAUUAAUUAUAAAGUCUAGCCUGCCCACUGAUUUAUUUAAAGGGCCGCGGUAAUUUGACCGUGCGAAGGUAGCAUAGUCAGUAGUCUUUUAAUUGAAGGCUUGAAUGAAAGGUUGGACGAGAGAUAAGCUGUCUCCUUUAUGAGAUUUGAAUUUAACUUUUGAGUGAAAAGGCUCAAAUUAUUUAGUGGGACGAUAAGACCCUAUAAAACUUGAUAUAAAUAUAAUUUAACUUGUGAUUUAGGUAAAAAGUGGUUUUAUUGGGUUUAUAUUUCGUUGGGGAGAUGUGGAUAUAAUAUGUAACUGUCUGUUUAAUUUAAUAAUUAUGAUUAGUGUGUGAUCCUUCUUUGGGGAUUAAGAGUUUAAGUUACUUUAGGGAUAACAGCGUGAUUUUCUUUGAGAGUUCUUAUCGACAAGAGUAGUUGCGACCUCGAUGUUGAAUUAAAGUUUCAGCUAGGUGUAGCCGUUUAGCUGGUAGGUCUGUUCGACCUUUAAAAUUUUACAUGAUUUGAGUUCAAACCGGU
rnacentral:rRNA from 1 species